rnacentral:lncRNA from 14 species
AUGCAGCUUAUCGGAUGCUUCACCCUAAGGGAUCAUCUGCAAAGUCAGCCAGACUGGUCCAAACUGCCAGGACUCUGCCCAAAGCAGUUGGAAAGUCACCCAAAGGCUUCUGCCCUGCUGGAGGGGCCAUACGAUGUAGUAAUGUCUCUGGCUCUGUUGAAAUCCUUCCUCACCUUGUGGAAGCAGCUGGAAGUGCUGAAGGGACACUGGGGCCGACUCAAGCUUCGAGGGCAGGACGUCAACUCUGCCCUGCUCCACAAGCAGGUCUCAGAGCUCUAUGAAGCCGAGAUCUUCUACCCCAGCAUGAAAGCUCUUGCCAGGCAGAUGGGCAAAGACGAUGAAUUUGAAGAACUUAUAAUAAGAAGCCAAUCUAUCCUCCCCCCAAAGGGAGCCUCAGAAAUGGAAAUAAAACUUCAGCAGCUUCAGAAACUUCUGGAAAGUUUAGAAAUUCACAUGAUCCAAGAAGUACUGAGAAAAAUUAAUAGAGAGAUGACACUGUUUCUAUCCGAAAAGUCCAAGGAGGAGUCCACUCUCCCAACAGGUAAUACAUGCUUGUUUUACUACUUGAAAAAUUAACAUUUUUUUUCAGAAUGCAAAGUGUCUGUGGUAGUGGGACAGGUGCCGUCCCCGAAAACCUGAAGAGUUCCCUUGUCUUUAAGGAACCGCUCCUCAGUUAAAGACAGUUAGUCUCGAC